AUGGUCGACAUCGACGAGUGCUCGGUGGCGCUCGUGCCCGAGCUCGAGCAUGCGCUGGCGAACCCGAACCCCUCCUCCAUCUCCCCGGACGCAUGGGCGCCUUUCGAGGCCGCCGCGCUCGGUGUCAUGUGCCGGAUCCAGCCAACCGUCGCCUCGGAGGGGCGCCGUGCGGCCGUUGUCGACUAUAUCCAACGCCUCGUCAAGUGUUCCGUCGGCUGCUCGGUCUUUCCAUUUGGAUCCGUUCCACUGAAAACAUAUCUUCCUGAUGGAGAUAUUGACUUGGCUGCUUUCGGUUAUACAUGUUCUGAUGAAAGCCUAGCAAAUGAGGUACGUGCCAUUCUGGAAUCAGAAGAGCGGCGCAAAGAUGCUGAAUUUGAAAUCAAAGAUGUCCAGUAUAUAAAUGCUGAGGUCAAGCUAGUCAAAUGCUUUGUCCAAAAUAUUGUUGUCGACAUCUCAUUUAAUCAGAUUGGUGGACUAUAUACGCUUUGUUUUCUAGAGCAGGUGAAUCAAAGAUUUGAAAAAACCCACCUUUUCAAGAGAAGUAUAGUGCUUAUAAAAGCCUGGUGUUAUUAUGAAAGCCGCAUCCUUGGAGCCCACCAUGGUCUAAUUUCUACCUAUGCCUUGGAGACAUUAGUGCUAUAUAUCUUCCAUCUCUUCCAUGAGUCUUUGGAUGGUCCAUUAGCUGUACUCUAUAGGUUUCUGGACUAUUAUAGCAAGUUUGACUGGGAUAACAGGGGUAUAAGCUUACAUGGUCCUAUUUCCUUAUCUUCCCUACCUGAGCUAGCUACUGACCCACCAGGCAUUCAUAAUGAUUGUUUUCUUGAGCGGGAGGAGUUUCUAAGAGAAUGUGCUCAAAUGUUUACUGCCCCCCCUAGGAACUAUGAGAGAAAUACACGCCCGUUCCCUCGAAAAUUUCUCAACAUAGUGGAUCCAUUGAAGCAGAGUAACAAUCUCGGGCGCAGUGUCAGCAAAGGUAACUUUUACAGAAUACGCAGUGCUUUUGAUCUUGGUGCCCGGAAGCUUGGAAAGAUCCUUCAAGUUCCUGCCAAUUCUAUCGUGGAUGAAGUCAAUCAGUUCUUCAGGAGCACACUGAAGAGAAACCUCGGCAGGGUACGCCCAGAUGUGCAAGGCACUGCAGUGAACUUGAACAUUGAAAGAGACAACAAGGGUUAUCCACCUUUACACAGUAAUCCCUGUGAGGAUCUAUCUUAUCAGCUUAGUAGUAUCAACAUUUCAGAUAAUCAUGGAUUUCUGAAGCAGGAGGAACAUAGCUCUAGCGGUGAGCACCAGGAAAUGAAAUCUGCUUCACAUCUUGUAACUAGUUCUUUUGUUAGUGUGAGCAAUGGGAUGUCAACAAAGGUGUACAAAGAGGCGGAUGGUGAUCGGGGUGCCACCACUGACAAUCUAUCAGAUCUCACAGGGGAUUACAGAACAAAUUUUAACAAUCUCCUCUAUUCACAGAGUUGCCACCAAGACUAUCCAGUUCAUCCAUACUAUCCAAUGCUUGCCCCGCCACCUGUACAAUAUCAGAACAAACACUCACUGAAUGGUCAUAACAGAAAAAAUGCUUAUGGAUAUCCCAGUGCAAACAGAAUGGCCCCUGGUCCUUAUUCACCUGGCUACUUCGUCUUAAAGCCGUUUUAUCGCACUGAGGAUCCUAUGCAACCUCAUGGAGCAGUCACCUACUUCCCCAACCCAAAUUUGUGCAUGGAGGCACCACCCACUGGACGAGGGGAAAGAAAGAAUUAUUUCCCUCGGAAUAAUUAUCAAAAGCAUCACCGUUAUGGUAGGGUGGACAUGCCUGCAGAUAUGACACGUUCUGAGGAAUUGAGGCAACAGCCACCAUUGCCGAUUUAUGUUCCUGUUGCAAAUGAUAAAGGAAUUCCCUCUCCGUUGAAGAUACCAACACCAUCAUCCCAUUCUACACAGGAUAAUAUUCAUGGAAGGGGCUUUAUUCAUCCACAUGACAGCAAACUUGAGUUUGGGACCUUGGGGGCAUUGCACAUGGAAGUUAGGAAUGCUUCCCAAAAUCAAGCUAACAGACCAUAUUCUGCUUCUGACAGUAAACCUUCUGCAACCCUGAGAUCGAACUCUCCUGGACAAAAUCCUGGAACGGGUUAUAAAUCUAAUGUAAUGAGGAAUAGUAAGCCAUAUCAUCUCAAGGACAAUGGUGAUUUCCCACCACUAUCCAGUUGA
rnacentral:rRNA from 1 species